rnacentral:rRNA from 1 species
GACGAACGCUGGCGGCGUGCUUAACACAUGCAAGUCGUACGCUGAAGCCCUUUUUGGGUGGAUGAGUGGCGAACGGGUGAGUAACACGUGGGUAACCUACCCUGCACUCUGGGAUAAGCCUUGGAAACGGGGUCUAAUACCGGGUGUGACGCGUGGCCGCAUGGUCUGCGCGUGGAAAGCCCCCUGUUGGGGGGUGGUGUGGGAUGGGCCCGCGGCCUAUCAGUUUGUUGGUGGGGUGAUGGCCUACCAAGGCGACGACCGGUAGCCGGCCUGAGAGGGUGAUCGGUCACACUGGGACUGAGAUACGGCCCAGACUCCUACGGGAGGCAGCUGUGGGGAAUCUUGCACAAUGGGCGGAAGCCUGAUGCAGCGACGCCGCGUGAGGGAUGACGGCCUUCGGGUUGUAAACCUCUUUCGACACCGACGAAGUCGCAUGGUUUUCUGUGUGGUGACGGUAGGUGUGGAAGAAGCACCGGCUAACUACGUGCCAGCCGCCGCCGUAACAC